rnacentral:tRNA from 3 species
GGUGGUUGUAGUUCAGUUGGUUAGAACGCCUGAUUGUGGUUCAGGAGGUCGCGGGUUCGAGUCCCGUCUCCCACCC